UGGGGAAUAUUGCACAAUGGGCGCAAGCCUGAUGCAGCCAUGCCGCGUGUGUGAAGAAGGCCUUCGGGUUGUAAAGCACUUUCAGCGAGGAGGAAGGCGUUAAGGUUAAUAACCUUAGCGAUUGACGUUACUCGCAGAAGAAGCACCGGCUAACUCCGUGCCAGCAGCCGCGGUAAUACGGAGGGUGCAAGCGUUAAUCGGAAUUACUGGGCGUAAAGCGCACGCAGGCGGUUUGUUAAGUCAGAUGUGAAAUCCCCGAGCUUAACUUGGGAACUGCAUUUGAAACUGGCAAGCUAGAGUCUUGUAGAGGGGGGUAGAAUUCCAGGUGUAGCGGUGAAAUGCGUAGAGAUCUGGAGGAAUACCGGUGGCGAAGGCGGCCCCCCUGGACAAAAGACUGACGCUCAGGUGCG
rnacentral:rRNA from 1 species